rnacentral:rRNA from 1 species
AGCAGCCGCGGUAAUUCCAGCUCCAAUAGCGUAUAUUAAAGUUGUUGCAGUUAAAAAGCUCGUAGUUGAAUUUCGGGGUUAGUAGGUUGGUCAUGCCUCUGGUAUGUACUGGUCUCACUGAUUCCUCCUUCCUGAUGAACCUUAAUGCCAUUUAUUUGGUGUUUUGGGGAAUUUGGACUGUUACUUUGAAAAAUUAGAGUGUUUAAAGCAAGCUAACGCUUGAAUACAUUAGCAUGGAAUAAUGAAAUAGGACGUUCGAUCCUAUUUUGUUGGUUUCUAGGAUUGACGUAAUGAUUAAUAGGGAUAGUUGGGGGCAUUAGUAUUCAAUUGUCAGAGGUGAAAUUCUUGGAUUUAUUGAAGACUAACUACUGCGAAAGCAUUUGCCAAGGAUGUUUUCAUUAAUCAAGAACGAAAGUUAGGGGAUCGAAGACGAUCAGAUACGUCGUAGUCUUAACCAUAAACUAUGCCGACUAGGGAUCGGAUGAUGUUAAUUUUUUAAUGACUCA